ACGGAAGGCAGCAGUGGGGAAUAUUGGGCAAUGGGCGAAAGCCUGACCCAGCAACGCCGCGUGAAGGAAGAAGGCCUUCGGGUUGUAAACUUCUUUUAUCAGGGACGAAGGAAGUGACGGUACCUGAUGAAUAAGCCACGGCUAACUACGUGCCAGCAGCCGCGGUAAUACGUAGGUGGCAAGCGUUAUCCGGAUUUACUGGGUGUAAAGGGCGCGUAGGCGGGGAUGCAAGUCAGAUGUGAAAUCCAUGGGCUUAACCCGUGAACUGCAUUUGAAGCUGUAUCUCUUGAGUGUCGGAGAGGUAGAUGGAAUUCCUAGUGUAGCGGUGAAAUGCGUAGAUAUUAGGAGGAACACCAGUGGCGAAGGCGGCUUACUGGACGAUAACUGACGUUGAGGCUCGAAAGCGUGGGGAGCAAACAGGAUUAGAUACCCUGGUA
rnacentral:rRNA from 1 species